rnacentral:lncRNA from 10 species
CCAAAUGCUGGGUGUCUUUGGAUGGGGAAAAGCUCAGAGGGCAGAGUGUAAGCCCAGGCCCAGAGCCAGCCGAGCCUCUGGGGCCCAUGGCUCAGGGGACCACAGCAGCAGGGGACCAGAGUCUGCCCUGCAGGCCCAGGGAAGCAGCCAGCAGGUGCCUCUGCUUUGGCCUUUGCACAACCCACUGUGGGUGAAGGAGUCGGGGCCUGGGUGGUGGUGCCAUUUGAACAGGCAAAGAGAAAGGGGAGAGAGAAAAGGUCACAUUCGGCUCUUUCCAAAUUAUCUUGCCCAGUGGGAGAGGACUUGUUCCCUGACCAAACUGAGGGUCGG